rnacentral:rRNA from 1 species
GACGAACGCUGGCGGCGUGCUUAACACAUGCAAGUCGAACGGAAGGGCCCUGCUUUUGUGGGGUGCUCGAGUGGCGAACGGGUGAGUAACACGUGAGUAACCUGCCCUUGACUUUGGGAUAACUUCAGGAAACUGGGGCUAAUACCGGAUAGGAGCUCCUGCUGCAUGGUGGGGGUUGGAAAGUUUCGGCGGUUGGGGAUGGACUCGCGGCUUAUCAGCUUGUUGGUGGGGUAGUGGCUUACCAAGGCUUUGACGGGUAGCCGGCCUGAGAGGGUGACCGGCCACAUUGGGACUGAGAUACGGCCCAGACUCCAACGGGAGGCAGCAGUGGGGAAUAUUGCACAAUGGGCGGAAGCCUGAUGCAGCAACGCCGCGUGCGGGAUGACGGCCUUCGGGUUGUAAACCGCUUUCGCCUGUGACGAAGCGUGAGUGACGGUAAUGGGUAAAGAAGCACCGGCUAACUACGUG